rnacentral:rRNA from 1 species
GUGAGAUCUCUGGAGUGACACGACGGUAUUUCGGUACUGAUGUUGAUUUGCCAAAGUUGAUCAAACUUGAUGAUUUGGAGGAAAUAAAAGUCGUAACAAGGUUUCCGUAGGUGAACCUGCGGAAGGAUCAUUA